GAUGAAGAACGUAGCGAAAUGCGAUACUUGGUGUGAAUUGCAGAAUCCCGUGAACCAUCGAGUCUUUGAACGCAAGUUGCACCCGAAGCCAUUAGGCCGAGGGCACGCCUGCCUGGGCGUCACACGUCGUUGCCCCCCAUCUACUCCUUCGGGAUUGCGGGGGGCGGAUGAUGGCCUCCCGUGCGCCUCGUCGCGCGGUUGGCAUAAAUGCCAAGUCCUCGGCGACGCACGCCACGACAAUCGGUGGUUGCGAAACCUCGGUUGCCCGUCGUGUGCGGUCGUCGCGCAUCGAGGGCUCGAAAAAAUUGCCGGGCUCCGGCUCGGCUUUCAACGCGACCCCAGGUCAGGCGGGGUUACCCGCUGAAUUUAAGCAUAUCAAUAAGCGGAGGA
rnacentral:misc_RNA from 1 species